CUGGGUUACAGGGCGCCUCGGCGCCCGUCACCACCACCUGCUUCCCGCCCCCUUUCGGCGCGAGGGGCCCCCUGCCGGAACCCAAACUCUGAACCAACUUGCAGCCUGAGUAGAAAAGCAAAUAGUCA
rnacentral:misc_RNA from 1 species